GUGGGGAAUAUUGGACAAUGGGCGAAAGCCUGAUCCAGCCAUGCCGCGUGUGUGAAGAAGGUCUUCGGAUUGUAAAGCACUUUAAGUUGGGAGGAAGGGCAGUAACCUAAUACGUUGCUACUUUGACGUUACCGACAGAAUAAGCACCGGCUAACUUCGUGCCAGCAGCCGCGGUAAUACGAAGGGUGCAAGCGUUAAUCGGAAUUACUGGGCGUAAAGCGCGCGUAGGUGGUUCAGUAAGUUGGAAGUGAAAUCCCCGGGCUCAACCUGGGAACUGCUUGCAAAACUGCUGAGCUAGAGUACGGUAGAGGGUGGUGGAAUUUCCUGUGUAGCGGUGAAAUGCGUAGAUAUAGGAAGGAACACCAGGGGCGAAGGCGACCACCUGGACUGAUACUGACACUGAGGUGCGAAAGCGUGGGGAGCAAACAGGAUUAGAAACCCGGGUAGUCC
rnacentral:rRNA from 1 species